UUGCUUCUGCCUAUAAAUGCCGCCUGCUCCAAUCUCCUUUCCAACACAAGCAGUCGAUUCAUCCAAGCCAGAGUUGAGCAAUACUAGCAGUGAGAUUUGGCCCUUCCGAUCGAGUGAUUUCAGUUCGUGUUUGUUAGUGAGAGAGAAGACAAGCGGAGAUGGCCUCCAACCAGAACCAGGCGAGCUACAUGGCCGGCGAGACCAAGGCCCGCACCGAGGUAACCGUCGUCUCCUAUAGUGCCUACCACUUCAUCCUGCUGCCGCGCGCAUGCGCCGUUGCUUCCGGCGGUGAUCUGAAAUGCUCUCUUCGUUGUGCAGGAGAAGACCGGGCAGAUGAUGGACAAGGCGGGCCAGGCCACGGAGGCCACCAAGCAGAAGGCCGGCGAGACGGCCGAGGCCACCAAGCAGAAGGCCGGCGAGGCCAAGGACAAGACGGCCCAGACGGCUCAGGCGGCCAAGGACCGCGCCGCCGAGAGCAAGGACCAGACCGGCAGCUUCCUCGGCGAGAAGACUGAGGCGGCCAAGCAGAAGGCGUCGGAGACGGCGCAGUACGCGCAGGAUAGGUCCUCCGACGCCGCGCAGUACACCAAGGAAUCCGCCGUUGCCGGCAAGGACAAAACCGGCAGCGUGCUCCAGCAGGCCGGCGAGACGGUGGUGAGCGCGGUGGUGGGCGCCAAGGACGCGGUGGCGAACACGCUGGGCAUGGGCGGUGACAACACCACCAAGGACACCACCACCAGGAAUCACUAGAUGCAUGCGUUCGCGCUUAAUUUGCUUUCCUUUAGUCGUGUUUGGUCGUUCACGAGCCUUCUACUAUGUUUCCACUCUUUCGUGAUUUUCCGCUCAUUUAGUGUAAGUUUGCCGCCGAUUUGAUCUACCCGUGUCCCGUUCUGUAAUGAGUUACUUAUAAUCCAUGUACUUCACUCGAAGGCGGCAAUAAAGUUAUAUGUGAUCGAAUUUCUUUUGUCACGGUAUCAUUGAAACUUCAAUCCGUUGUUGCCGGACCAACUGAGCAUUGCUCAUAUGGUGAGGUACUGAGGUUCGCUGUGGAGGAACCAAUCCAAUCUAUCGGUUCUUGGCCUUGCAUUCUUCUUAAUUUAUUUCAGGUUUUUUUUUGUGAUUAGACGUCCCGUCGAGAAGAGUCUUUACGGAUUUCGUUAAUCUGAAGAUGUUGUGCUGGCUCGGUAUCUCGAGGUACUAUAAGAGCGUGUGUGUUUGGCUCGGUAUCUCGAGGUACUAAUAAGAGUGCGUGUGUCUGAAGAUGUUGUUCUGACUCGGUAUCUCGCAGGUACUUCCUCCGGUCCUUUUUAGUCUGCAUAUAAGUUUUGUCCGAAGUCAAAAUAUCUCAACUUUAACCAAAUUUAUAAAAAUAAGUAUCAACAUUCACAACGCCAAAUCGACAUUGUUAGAUUAAUUAUGAAAUAUAGUUUCAUAGUACAUAAUUUUGCUAUUGUAGAUGUUGGUAUUUUUUAAUACAAAUUUAAUCAAACUUUGCAAAGUUUGACUUGACAUAAAUCUAAUACACGGAGUAAAAAGGACCGGAGGGAGUACGAAUAAAAGUGUGUGCGUGCGUUUAUAGUGAUGAGUGCGUGCAAUGGCGGAGCUACAGAAAAUAGAUUGGGCGGGCCAACAUGGCUAGAUCUAAAGGGAGACUGUAAUUUUUACCUUUAUGGCCUAGUUUUUACACUCACUCUAGUUUUGGCCCUAUGGCGUGCGGGCCAUGGCACGCUUUUGCUUGUACGUAGCUCCGCCAGUGAGUGCAUGUACAUUAAAAAAAUCAUUAUUGAUGGUUGACUUCGUCAAUCUGAAGAUAUGUGUGCGUGCGUUUAUAGUGGUAAGUGUGUGUAUAUUCAAAAGAAAACAUUGUUGAUGGCUGACUUCGUCGAUCUAAAGAUGUUGUAUAGGCUCGGUAUCUCGGAUGUACUCAUAGGAGUGAGUGUGUGUGUUCAUAGAAGUGAGUGUGUGUACAUUCUAAAGAGAAAGAUGUUGUGCAGCCGAUGACAAAGAUGUUGUGCAGUCCGAUUCAUCUAUGGCCCUAUCGAUAUUCAGAGAUGAAUCACUUGUUCGCUCUCCAUAUGGUCAUCUAGCAUUGGAGAUCAAGUCCCUAAGAUAGAACCAGGUGUUUAUUCCACAAAAGCUUCAUCGUAGUCAAAAUAGAGUAACAGAUUGUUUGACGAGAUAUAGCCAUACAGAGCAUAGCACAACUGUGUGGCUACAUNNNNNNNNNNNNNNNNNNNNNNNNNNNNNNNNNNNNNNNNNNNNNNNNNNNNNNNNNNNNNNNNNNNNNNNNNNNNNNNNNNNNNNNNNNNNNNNNNNNNNNNNNNNNNNNNNNNNNNNNNNNNNNNNNNNNNNNNNNNNNNNNNNNNNNNNNNNNNNNNNNNNNNNNNNNNNNNNNNNNNNNNNNNNNNNNNNNNNNNNNNNNNNNNNNNNNNNUCACAAAAAGAGAGAGAUGUUGUGCCGGCUCGGUAUGUCGAAAAUACUCAUAGGAGUGUAUGUGUUCCUAUUCAUAGGAGUGAGUGUGUGUACGUUGGAAAAAUUUAAUUGUUGCCGGAAGAUUUGCGUUUAUGGGGCCUCCUUCAGUUCUUGCUAGACUGCUCUGCAAAAGAAAAGUCCCAGCCUUUUCACUAGAUAUAAGCAUACGCAAAGCUUGCAAAUACUUUCAUUGAUAGCUCAUUGAUAAAAAAAAAUCACUAGAUGAGCAUUAUUAUUUUGGUGAAUGCGCAGAGUUUGGAAAUAAAAAAGAAUACAUAAAGGGUACAACACAAAUGCAAAAAAGAGAUAUGAUAUGCUCGGUUGAAACAAAGCUAAACACAGCUAAACCCAUUAAGCCCAUAUUCCAACCAUGGAAGGCGAGGAGCCUCGAGAGUGCCUAUAGAGAUCAACACAUAGGGUGUUGGAGCCAUGAAAUGCAAGGAGCAUCAAGACUACCUAGAGAUGGGCUAAUAGGCUGCGGAACACGCCAUUGAGAGUGCCUAGAGAUCGGAGACAGAAGCAUCCAGAGUGCCUAGAGAUCGGCAAGUAGGCCGCACAACCCGCCAUCGAGAGUGGCUAGAGACCGGAGACAGAAGCCAUGGGAAAAAUGUCGGUGAAGUAGUACAUGACGCCCCAGAUAUCCAUGCCUUUAGAGGUAACCCGAAUCAACAUGGCGUCCAAUAUCCCUAGAUCGAUCAUCGGGGAUACCACGUGCGAACAAGACAACACCUUCAAAAGGGAGAACAACGCGAUGUCGUCAUCUGGUCCGAAGGACCAGACCUAGGGUUCCCUUAGUGGUCGAAGAGGGGCACACAUAAAUGACAUGGCAAUGCCUCUAAGAAGGAGACGACACUCGUGAGUGUCGCCGCUACCAGCAUUGGCAAGCUGAGCAGGGCUUUCUCCCUGACCUGAGUCCAAGCAAUCUCAUAGCCAUCAGAACAAGAUCCGGAUACAAGAAAAUCAAGUCAUUAGUCAGAACCACCACCACAAGAAGGGACUUGCACCCGCAGUAACAAGGUUGUGCUGGCCCCGCCGGACACGUGGGCCUUGGAUAUGGCAGAGGAUGGGGCAAGAAGGUGGAUGGGGUUGGGAGGCUGCGGGGCAGAGAGGGUUGUUGAAGGAUGCAGCGGCGACCGGUGAUGUCGUCAAGUAAGGAAUCGGAGGGAACGCAGAGCCGGGCCGUCGGGGCCAACGCCAUCAGGAUGCCGACGAGCCAAGAUGAAUUGGAUCUGCCCCUUUGGGUCUUUUUAUAUUGGUAUAGAUGUAUAGAUCUCUCAUUAUCUUCUCUGAUAGAAAUGUUAUUCUCUCUUUUACUGACAUUUGCUUAGCAGGGUCUCUAACUCUAUAUAGCAGCCACUCUACUCUUGGCCUCCUCUUUUCUGCUAAUAUAACUCUUUCAUUUCACGAAUUUAGGUCAGUAAAGGAUGCAAGUGUUAUCUGAAAUGAAUGGAUGUAAAGCGCUUGUAUGUGGCUUUUCAAGUCUGCCGUCAAAUCCAAAGCACUUGAUCGAAUUAGAGCAAAAUAGGGAUAUGCAAUGCAAUAGCUUUUCUUUCAAUAGUAUCCCCUAGUGACCAUCGACAACCUGGGCUAAGCCACGGGUCAACAUAUCCUCCGAUAGAAAUAGAAGUCUUUGGAUAGUGGAUUUGCAGUAUAUUAACAAUUUGAACAGAGAACUACAAAUAUCUUCGUAUGAUUGUAGCUCCCUUUCAAUAUAAACAGCUUCCAACCGCAAGCAAAAUCCCAAUAGACGUCGUCAUCGUAGAAGACCAUUAACUUCCGGCCACGUACGGAAUCAAGCGUAUGCAUAAUCUGAGGAGAAGAAAUAUUUUCUUAAAAGCUUUCUGAAACAAUGACUAGCACAAGGUUACUGCCUUUGCUCAGAUAAAAAAUCUUUUAUUAAUUCUCCAAACUAGUUGCCGAACAUGUUACAUGUGCCACAAAGAGUGUAUAAGUUAGAACCUACAGAACUAUGAACUACAUCGCAGGAGCCGACUUGCACUAGAAAACAUAUGCUUAAUGAAUUCGUCGCGGUGGCAAAAUAAAUGAUACUUACUAUCAUGUCAAUCCCGGUGUGUAAGGUUGUCUAUAAUCAAAAUUACUCCAUGUUUUCGAAGCCAGAAGAUCUUCACUCAAAGCGGUAGGGGCGCUAGGCUAGACGCACGCCCAGGCAAACAGCAGAGCAACAAUGUCAAACAACUAGAUCGGAAACGCGCCUUGGCGCGAGGGUGCCGGUCACAACAAUGUGUCCAAGCAGAAAUUGCUCAAUUUAGUAGGAGGUCGGAUUUAGCGACGUAUUCAAACAGGAUACAACAAACUAAAAGGAAGAGGAAACAUUCACAUGUAAUAGGAGGAAAACAUCAUCGAGAUUGACAUCGGCAUGAGAAAUAAGGCAGCAUUCAAUUUAGUGCGUUCAUGAGACCACAAAAGGUAACCACUUGAUAUUAAGCUCGGUACUAAGAGCGUGAAUAUGAGAGAGGAAGUACCAAGAGCAGGAACACAAUAUAAAUAAAUAAAAACUACGUAGCCAUAGCUUCUUGGGCAUACUACUUAGUUGCUUCAUUCGGCUGCCUUCUCGAUCAACUUCAUAGAUGGCACGUCAAUUAACCUGAUGCAGGCAAUGUGUUCGAUAUAUUGCAUAGACCAAUUUAUGUGGAGACAAAAAAUGCACUUGCAUUUUUGUACCUUAGCCUUUUAAAGCUUAUAACCAGGGAGUGAUGGUUCCCCUUUUCAAUUUUGAAAGCAAAGACACAUAUGAUACUCUCUGAUCCCUGCCGCUUUGACAGAGCUUGACCAAUUGUUUGUUAUUGUUGGUCUCUUGUCCGUAUCCAGGUGCACUCAUCCAACCCGGUAAUACAACCAUUGAAGCAUUGCAUAUAAAACAUGGCAUUAUCUAUGAACUGACCCACUACUACAAUGCCUCUCAAUUAUGAUGUGGACUUAAUCAAAGUGGUGCUACUUGCCCAACCCCAACUCCCACAGAAUCCCGUUUUUCCUAACCCGGUAAUAGAAAAAAAUAGGUAUCUCAGGAUGGAAAUGUAGGGACUAUCUCAGGAUAGAAAUGUAUCAAGGAAUUAAUGAACUAAGUUCAAUGAUCAAACCUCUGAUAUAAAUAUUUCAAUUAACAUCUGAUAUUACUCAGUAUAUCUCAGGAUGGAAAUAUAUCUGAGUAGGUGAUGGUAGAUACUCACAGUAGUAAUCACCCCGUAAAAUAUAUCUAAAAAGAUGACCCUAUAUAUGCAUGCCAUCGACGCAUUUGUUAUUAAAUAUGACGUGAAAUACCUUGCUUUGGUAUGAUAGAAACCAAAAGAUAAAUAUCAUGCAUUUAUUUGUUUGGCCAGACCUUUUGCCCAAAGAAACUGAAUCUCUCAUCACAACAAAGUUCAAGUAAACUGCAAAUUUGCACUACGAUGGGCGAGUGGAUAAGAGACAGAGAACUAUAGCAGCACAAUAAGCCUCUGAAGCAAAGAAGGAGGCUCAGUGAUGACAUUGACAGCCUUGUCAUACAACGACAAAAAUGGCUUGAGCUGUUCAAAAAAAAUGAUGAAAUCAAAAUGGGGGAGUAAUUUAUUUAGGCAAACACUGAAUCAAAAUCUUAGUGGUUGGUUUACCGACAACCAGUAUAUGAGGUAUGUUUAUUAUUUAUGGGACUUGUCCAUUUAAGCCUUAAUAUCCCAAUUACGGAUAUUUUGGUAAUUUAUAUGACGCACUGUAAAAAUAUUAAGCACUCACAAUUGAUUAUUUCCUAAUUGGUCACCUAAACACCCUUUAAUAUACUGUGACAAGUAAUGUUAUAAGUCAUCAAGCUCUUUAUGAUAUUUUCUACUUCAGAUUCCAAGUCGCAUUAAAUGAGUGCACAAAAGAGAAUAUAAAAAUAAAAAGGCUCAAGGUACUUCUGACAGAACUCAUCUCAGUGUUAUUUUGGUAUAUAGCUUAAGCCCUGGAUCAACUAAGCUAGCAUGGUAGAUUUUUCUUCUUAAUGAAAGCACAUAUAUGUAAGAGCAUGCAGAAAGGGUCAAAGAGCUAGAAUCCUAUAAAAUACAGAAUCCAUCUUUCGACACAGGGAACAAUUAUAUUUAUAUUUGAUACAGAACAUGCACUUGUGAAUUGGCAGGUAAUAUGAAGGUCAUGUAUGGGAAUUUUACCUUCGCUUUCAGUGACACAUAUCAGAUCAUCUUCCCCUCGACCCUUUCAUGAUGUGGUUGCUGCCGGUGCUCUAGGAAUAACAAAGUUGUUUUAAUAGUAAUUUUGGAAAACACAUGGUGAUUGGGAAAAGCAAAGUUUAAAUCACAUAACAGAUCAAGUUCAAUUAAUAUGGUGUCAUAAUCAGAAACUUUCUAUACUACCAUAUAAGCAUCUUUGAAAGAUCAAAAGAUCAAGAACAACUUAUAUGCAAUAAAGGUACGAGAGAGAAGAAAUCUUUACAUAAGACGGCUAUAAACACUGGAGCAUAAAUAAGCAACACCUUUAAAUACAAAUAAAAAGGGUUCAGGGUUCAAUGCAUAGUGGGCUCAGAUUCGCCUUUCCUCGAUCAUAUAACCUACCCCCGUCAUCUCUUAUCACCAGAUCAAUCUGUUUAUACAGUUGAGCUGCCCUGGUUAUCACUCAACAAGAUUGACCAUCCAAGGGCAGAACAGUAAGUAUCACAGGAUGAAAAGGAUUCUAGAGACAACCGCUCACCUCCUCCAUGGUGCUCGGCAGAGGGAGCCAAUAUGGCACUGCAGAUUUUCAAGUUACCAAGGCCAUCAGGAAGAGACAAAUGUAUGUGGUUGAAUAAUAAAAAAAUAACAAAGAACGUUGCCAUUGGGACUGAGCCGACCUACUGGUGCUACUUCUCACCAUGGUACACAAGGCAGCCAGCCCUGGCAUCUACGGAAAUGAAAGGAAAGUGCAAAAAAAGUAAGAACAUAGAAAAGCCAGAAAAGUAAGAACAAAGUGUGACUGAUAUCUACUUAUCCCAGGUUAACAAUUUGGGUUCGAUGAAAGUGUGAGUGUAUGCUCUCGGUUUCUUCUAGAUUAAUAGAAUGGACAUGACAAACAAGACACUGGCAUAUUUUUCAAAUGACUACUAAUAUUGAGUACUGCAUUAGAUACUUUCAGAUUAUGCUAAGAGACCAGACCAUGUACAACUACCUGGCUAAUGACGAUUGCCUACCUUCAUAAUUGCCUAUUGCCUUGAGCUCACACCAAGAUUAGUACCUGCAAAUAACACAUAGACAAUUUAGUGUCAAGGCAAAGACAAAGAAAAGAAAAAUGAAAUAAGGGAAUAUAAAUACUCAUUAUGUAACAAAACCUAAUAACCAGUUGUAGAUGCUAAAAAACUGUUUGUCUAAGUGUUCAAACUGAGGACUUUUGAAGGUCACCUGCUCUGAUAGGUAAAGGCGCUGACGAUUCUUAUAGGUAGUCUGCUCACACAGAAGACCCCACCUGUUUCCAAUCAAACCAAUAGAUCAACAAAUAAUUAGUUGCAAAACCACUAUUGAAGGCAAAACUGAACCACUAUUUAAGUCAAAACUACUGCAAAACCAAACCAGCAUGCUUUCAAACAGAAUGCCACCACUCUGGAACAUUAUUAGCUUCAAAGUACCCGGUGGUGAGUAAGAAUGCACCAGAGCCGAUGCUCAAAAAAGAAUAUCAUCAAAUCAUGCGGGGCGGUCUUAAACUCUACUCCAUGGUAGACAAACAUCAAGUGAUUGAAAUGCAGCAGAGUCCCUGCAGUACUUACCUAGCUAGCUGAGAGCGAGUGAUGCCCAGGCUGCAUCAUCGAUGAGACAAGAGGUGCGCCUUGACCUGGUGCUGUACCCCAGGGUUGAGAGCUCAAGAAGGAACAGAUGUUGGUUGNNNNNNNNNNNNNNNNNNNNNNNNNNNNNNNNNNNNNNNNNNNNNNNNNNNNNNNNNNNNNNNNNNUAAUUAACCUGUAAAACAAGGGGGGGGGGGGAUGUAGUUAUUGACAGGGAGAAGCAUUCCAUGUACAUAUAUACAUAAUUUAAAGGAAAACGGCGAGAAACAAUGAAGGCGUGUGUUUAUAAGAAGACACACAAGCAUGAUGUUGUGUUUGAUAGCCAUUAAAAACUCAACAGCAUAUAACAACAAAGCUUAUUUUGCCCUUUUGUUUAUAAUUACCUAUAAAUGAUGCUACCAUAGGCCUAUUUACCCAAAAAAACAUAUCAAUGUGCAACAUUUUUUUUACCUAGUUUCCUCCACAAUUUCUACUUAGGCUCAUAGCUCUACUGAAAUCUUUUUCUCGGAGUUUGGUUUUGUGUUCUGCUCAAUUAUAUUCAGGGUGUCCUGGAAUAAUGAAUUCAAUUUAAAAGACAGUUUACUUUAAGUGAUUAUACAUGCGAAGGGCGGGUGGCGCGCGGCAAUCUGAAGAGAAUAUUUCACAAAAAAAAAAAAAAAAAAUCACAGCAGGUAUAAUUCAUCUUAUAGUUAUUUCAGUAUAAUAUGGUAGAUCCAGUCAAGAAGUAGAUGCAUUGCAAUCUGAAACGUUUGAUAUGGUGUGACCAUAAUAUAGAGAUCUUAAGGUACCUGGUGAGUCCUUUUAACAGAAGACAAAUUUAGAUAGACAUGUACAAAAAUGCGAGAGUAACAUUUAUACAAGCAUCUAUGGGAGGGACAAGUCCUAUGGUUUUGUUGACAUUGUACGUUUAGAACAGGGCAGAUACCUGUAUUGCAUAGAUUCUUUGUAUAUUUUGGUCAUUAGAUUGUUUGUCUGGUUGGACUGAAGGCACAGACAAAGAUACAAGGAUGUACAUGGCCAUUUAGAAUAGGGCAGUAUGGCACAAACCAGUAUUCCAUAGAUGUUGUUGACAACCCCUCAUCUCACCUUUCAGUCUGCAAAAUAAGAGGCAAUCGAGCUUGAGAAAGAGAUGGACUUUAGGCCAUCGGCGGUCACUAUGGCGAAUUUGCUCAAGAGCUGGCCAACCCUGGGUACGACAAAUUCAACAAUCAGCACUCCGUAUAAAAUAGUCUGAAGAGGCUUAUCUCUCUACAGGAAUUGAGUAAGGAGACAGUCAUACCAUACACUUUGUAGAGUUCUACGAUUCUGCUGUCCAACUUGACGGCAGGCCGUCCUUCUGCACGAACAUACAGAGACUUAGGAAUUCCAUACACAAUUAGCUAUCUUUUCUUUCAUUGGCCAGUGCACCUAACUCGUGUACAAAAUGUGAUUUCAGUGAAUUCAAAAGAAUCAGCAGAUUGAAGAAUGGAUGCCCACCUGUUGAGACCGUGGCGUCCUUCUCUAUGAUUUUCUGGAGGAUACUAACAGAUUACUACUUCUCCAGUAUCGAUCGUCCAUUCUACCCAAUGAAAUCUCCCAUUCCCAAAAGCAGAGCCAACGACAGUAACUUAUGGAACUAUGAAUCCACAGAAUAGCCAUAGCUUUGCUGGUAUUCAUCAGAGUUGCCUGCUGCCUAAUCAACAAUCCCAUUCCCAAAAGCAGACGGCACCAACAGCAAGGAACGAAAACAAAAUUCACAGAUUUUGCACAGCUUUGCUAGUACGUAUUCAUCAGAGUUGCCCUCUAUCUGCGGAUCGUGGCCGACUAAUCAGCAACACUGCAGGCUCUCAGGCUUGCACGCCAAAAAAGGGUAAUCCCCCGUGCCGGACAAUUUCGCUGCUCACGCCCGCCCCACUGACAGUCGCUAGCUAAAGCUGCACCGCACAGAACCCAUCGCCACGAGCCGACGAGCGGUCGAGCGAGGAGGAGCAGGGGAGGGGAGGGGUGGCUGCUCACGGGGAGGUAGUCGGCGAGGUGGGGCACGUCGUCGAGGACGUAUCCGAAGACGCCCUCGGAGAUCUUGACGUAGGCGGUGUUGGUGAGGCUGUCGUUGGAGGCGUUGUGGAGGGCGUGGAGGUUGGGGUAGGAGUCGCGGGAGAUCCGCACGCACAUGGCGGAGGAGGUCAGCGCCGCCUUGGCCUGCUGCUGCCGCUCCCCGCCGCCGCCGCCGUCGUGCUCCUCGUCCUCCCUCCGCUGCUGCUCGUCGCCCAAGGCCUACUGCUGCGCCGCCUUGGCCUGCUGCUGCUGCUCCGGCGCGGUUCGAGGCGGUGGGUGGCGGCGGCGGCGAUGUGGGUGGGAGGAGAGGAGGCGGGAGGGGAGGGGAGGGGAGAGGAGGCGCGCGGGAGGGGAGGGGAGGCGGCGGCGAGCUGGGAGGGCGGGGGAGGCGCGAGUGCGGGAGGGAGGUGACGGCUAGGUCAUCCCACGGCAGCGCCCCCUUUUUAUACCCAAUAGUCAAAUGACUAAAAUGCCCUCGGGGGGCGGCGCUGGAAUCACAGGCGGUGGCACGAACGAUGGAGAACUAUUCAUUGUAGCAGGGUUCGUUUUUUGAUCCAACGGCCGAUAUCUUCCCAGAGCGAGAUCCGACAGCCGAAAACGCAUCAAACAAAAGAUCCGACGGCCAGAAAUCGCUGAGCUCUGAGAACACUCAUGUUCUCCCAACUAACAUAGUUCUGGAUGUUGAACAAUGAACAAAGAAAGGGAUCAUCACGCCCCAGGCCACGGGCCUUGCUGCCUGGGGCCUGACGCCACAACUGACUGAAAGUAACACACACAGCUGCACACACGACACCAAAUUUGAUCUCCCAUUUUCUCCAAUCAACUCGACCAUGCCAUGAUUCUUGCAGCCUCAUGGUAUCUUAAUUUGAUUUCCCGUGGCUUUCGAAGCUACAUCUAUCUCGCGCUAUUUUCCCUUCAGCGUGCGCCAACUUCUCGCGUGUCAGACGGCCAUCCAUCAUACGCCACGUUCAUUGAGGCACAACUUAGAAAAUCGAGCAAACCAUGGCUCAAUUCUUUUGGCCGGUUUUCCCAGGAUCUUGAGAAUCAGACCUCCUCCUAAAUAGCUAGGAGUAUAAAAAAUGAUCAAGAUUCUGAGAAAAUCUAAGAGGAAGUUUGAUUCUUAAGAUUCCGGCAGAAUUAGCCAAAAUAAACUAGGCCCGUGCUUAAAAAAUCUAGGCCUAUGUUAUGCGCUUAAAAAAUUGUACUAUGAGGAGGGUGGUUUCGACUUGUGGUAAGAGCAAGUACAAUAGGGUGACAUAAGCAGGCUAUAAGGAAUAGAAUAAUAUAUCUUUGCUUAGUUGAAGAGAGAGAAGAGGGGAGAGAAGAGAAGCGGACUCUUGGUUAGUAGCCAGCUGCAACACGUGAUCCAAGACGCUUUGUGAGAAACUGAGAAUGUAAGGUGGACCAACUAUUGAUAAACUGGCGCGUUAUACAUGCCGGCUAAGUGGUUGGUUGUAGAUGACAUGACAACUUCUUAUAGUCGACCGUUGGCUGUAUUAUUAACCAUGAUCUAGGAAAGCACGGCAUGGGCACAUAAUAUUAUAUAUAUAUAUAUGAAAUCUUGUAAUAAGACUUGGCCACGUCGAUCUAACAGGGGCUAGAGCUUUGAAAAAAGAAAACAGAAGCUAAAGCUAGGGCGCGUGGCCCGCCGACCACCUCAUAUCCUACUUGUAGUACAUUUCUACCUUUUCUUUGCAUCGUGAGUAACGUCGGCAUUGGACUUCACCGUCACACUACCCCACCCAAUCUCCUUCCUGGACCUGUCUUUACACUUGUGUUGGUCUCCUACUUGGCCUUCGGCACCGGCGUCCGCAUGUGUUGGAUCGAAUCAGCAGCUCGUGAUAUGGGUGAGCAAUCGAGCUUCGCGAAGCUACUUUCUAUACGUGGCGGCCAUGUACGAGCACCGCCAAGCGACGUGUCCCGUUGCUUCUGCCUAUAAAUGCCGCCUGCUCCAAUCUCCUUUCCAACACAAGCAGUCGAUCGAUUCAUCCAAGCCAGAGUUGAGCAAUACUAGCAGUGAGAUUUGGUCCUUCCCAUCAGUUCGUGUUUGUUAGUGAGAGAGAAGACAAGAGGAGAUGGCCUCCAACCAGAACCAGGCGAGCUACAUGGCCGGCGAAACCAAGGCCCGCACCGAGGUAACCGUCAUCUCCUAUAGUGCCUACCACUUCAUCCUGCUGCCGCGCGCAUGCGCCGUUGCUUCCGGCGGUGAUCUGAAAUGCUCUCUUCGUUGUGCAG
rnacentral:lncRNA from 1 species